AUGCAAGUCGAACGAUGAAGCCGCUUCGGUGGUGGAUUAGUGGCGAACGGGUGAGUAACACGUGGGCAAUCUGCCCUGCACUUCGGGACAAGCCCUGGAAACGGGGUCUAAUACCGGAUAUGACCACCGGCCGCAUGGUCUGGUGGUGGAAAGCUCCGGCGGUGCAGGAUGAGCCCGCGGCCUAUCAGCUUGUUGGUGGGGUGAAGGCCUACCAAGGCGACGACGGGUAGCCGGCCUGAGAGGGCGACCGGCCACACUGGGACUGAGACACGGCCCAGACUCCUACGGGAGGCAGCAGUGGGGAAUAUUGCACAAUGGGCGCAAGCCUGAUGCAGCGACGCCGCGUGAGGGAUGACGGCCUUCGGGUUGUAAACCUCUUUCAGCAGGGAAGAAGCCUCUNGGGGUGACGGUACCUGCAGAAGAAGCACCGGCUAACUACGUGCCAGCAGCCGCGGUAAUACGUAGGGUGCGAGCGUUGUCCGGAAUUAUUGGGCGUAAAGAGCUCGUAGGCGGCNUGUCGCGUCGGAUGUGAAAGCCCGGGGCUUAACCCCGGGUCUGCAUUCGAUACGGGCAGGCUGGAGUACGGCAGGGGAGAUCGGAAUUCCUGGUGUAGCGGUGAAAUGCGCAGAUAUCAGGAGGAACACCGGUGGCGAAGGCGGAUCUCUGGGCCGAUACUGACGCUGAGGAGCGAAAGCGUGGGGAGCGAACAGGAUUAGAUACCCUGGUAGUCCACGCCGUAAACGUUGGGCACUAGGUGUGGGCGGCAUUCCACGUCGUCCGUGCCGCAGCUAACGC
rnacentral:rRNA from 1 species